rnacentral:rRNA from 1 species
UUUUUUAAUUGAAAACUUGUAUGAAUGGUUGAAUGAAAUAUUAACUGUCUCAUAAAAAUUAUUAUUAAAAUUUUAUUUUUUAGUUAAAAAACUAAAAUAAAUUUAAAAGACGAGAAGACCCUAUAGAGUUUUAUAAUUUUUUUAAAUAUAUUAUUUAUUAAAAUUAUUAUUUGAUUUAUUUAAUAAAUUAUUUUGUUGGGGAGAUAAUAAAAUUUAAUAAACUUUUAUAUUAUUAAUAUAACAUAAAUUAAUGAAUAAUUGAUCCUUUAUUAAUGAUUAAAAAUUUAAAUUACCUUAGGGAUAACAGCAUAAUUUUUUUUUGAAGAUCUAAUUUAAAAAAUAGAUUGU